rnacentral:hammerhead_ribozyme from 1 species
GCACUGCUGAGGAGUUCCACAAUAGGGCGAAACGGCCGUCCAGUGC